GACGAACGCUGGCGGCGUGCUUAACACAUGCAAGUCGAACGGAAAGGCCCUGCUUUUGUGGGGUGCUCGAGUGGCGAACGGGUGAGUAACACGUGAGUAACCUGCCCUUGACUUUGGGAUAACUUCAGGAAACUGGGGCUAAUACCGGAUAGGAGCUCCUGCUGCAUGGUGGGGGUUGGAAAGUUUCGGCGGUUGGGGAUGGACUCGCGGCUUAUCAGCUUGUUGGUGGGGUAGUGGCUUACCAAGGCUUUGACGGGUAGCCGGCCUGAGAGGGUGACCGGCCACAUUGGGACUGAGAUACGGCCCAGACUCCUACGGGAGGCAGCAGUGGGGAAUAAUGCACAAUGGGCGGAAGCAUGAUGCAGCAACGCCGCGUGCGGGAUGAAGGCCUUCGGGUUGUAAACCGCUUUCGCCUGUGACGAAGCGUGAGUGACGGUAAUGGGUAAAGAAGCACCGGCUAACUACGUG
rnacentral:rRNA from 1 species